UGAAGGCUGGCAUUAUCAGACGCAGAUAUCGAUCUUCUUCGUUUCAGAGUAUCAACUGUGUGCAUCAAGUCCUCCGAUACGAAGGUUAAAGUAGGAAAGGUUGGAGAGGAAGCUUCAAACCUAGAACAGAGGACGGACAUCAGCUGAUAGCAGGUGGAGAGACACAAUAGAUUCUCCAGCUGGGGCCAAAUAUGAUUCUGCAGCUCUCAAGCAGAGUUCUGUGUCAUUCUUCGAUGUUGAGAAGCCAAAAACCGCCGUUUCGCGGUGGGCAAGGGCUAGGACUAGAGCUGCGAAGGUUGGAAAAGGUUUGUCUAAGGAUGAGAAAGCACAAAAGUUAGCUCUUCAACGUUGGCUUGAAGCUUUGAUCCACGUCAUCGGUAUGGACACAAUUUACACAUGUACUACGAUUUGUGGUUUGAAAGUGAGAGCAGCCAGCCUUUCUUCUACUGGCUGGAUGUUGGAGAUGGCAAAUAAAUAAAUAUUGAGAAAUUCUCGAGGACAGUUCUACAGAGCCAAUGCAUCAAGUACCUUGGACCGAAAGAAAGGAAAGCCUAUGAAGUAGUAGUUAAAGAUGGAAAGCUAAUACUGAUUGAAUUCUGAAAUUCUGCAAUCUAUCAAAACAAAAACCUCUUUUCUUUCUUUCUUUUGUUAAUUAAACAUCAUCAGAGUUAAAUUCUGGAUAUUACUUUGGGCUCAGUUUCUCCAGAGUUUGGCAAUUAGCACAAUUUUUUUUGUUUUCUGGAAUAGAGGCUGUUGUAAAUGUUUCAGUUGAAGGGAGGGGAGCAGAAGGUUAUAUCGUACAUUCAUCUUCAAACAAAUUUUCUUGGGAAAUGAACCAACCACUUCCACACCAGCCCACCCUCUUCCUGACUUGGACAAAAAAGCCCGCAGGUAAACCUCUACAAAAUUUUUCUUUGUUCAGCUUCAUUUUUCUCUACCUUUUCUUUUUUCACAAUGAUAGGGAAGCUAACACUGAACCACCAACAUCAUCAAUGGAGAUUAUCAACAAGGCGAAAACCGACUGAAGUUCAACCCACUUUUUGUAAGAACAAAAUUGGAGGAAGCAACUUUUUCACAUCCUCCAUGACUAGCUAUCAAUAGGCUACAUCAUCAGCUAUUUUUCGCAAACUAUUGCAGCAGCAAUUGUAACUAAGUUAUCCUUUACUAUGACAACCUACUUUUUCAACAUUGUACCACAACAUCUGUGCUGGUGGUGAUGUUACUAGAAUAUGAUCUACUUCAUCUUUAGUUGUAAAACAGACUUAA